GUCAUGCGAUCAUUAUAUAACCUGGUCUACCACAUACGGUAAGGUACAGUGCGAUAUCACGAGGUGACAAAAAUUAUUUUGGAAACAUUUGGCAAAAAUGGAACAAAAAUGGAGCAAACUCGGUUUCAUGGGCAGUUUUGACAGUUUGGACGAAUUUAAAUAUAACUUUCUUAUCUGAAGUCCAAAUGACGUGAUUCCAAUUUUAAAAGAUCAUCAACUCAUUGUAGUUAUGAUCUGGAAAAGUUGAGAUCGAAAGGAGAAAGCAUGAAUCGUGGCCGAAAGUUGCAAUUCACGUUUCGGAUCCAGAAAAGCAAAAUGAGAAGGGUGUACUAUCUCCUCCAUAACUUUCGAUUGGGAGCUCGGAUUGCUUCGCCGUUUGUUUCACAGUAAACUAGACAUCAAGAGCUUUCCAUAGACACCAAGAUCGUAAUUUUUGGUGGAGAUUUGGCCCUUCAUCGAGCAGUUACAAUCUGAGCAAAAUUCUGGUUGCUGACAUCAUGGCUUACAUCAUGGAGACAACUCACCUAACAUGCCACUACGAAUUUCAUCAUUUCAUCUACUUUUGCCCUUCAGAAACUCCUAUAAAUAGACCCUUAAUCUGCUCUCAUUGAUCACACAACAACAAGAAACACAAAAACAAAGAGUAGAAGAAGAUUUGGAGGCUUGGAGCAUGAAGAACAAGCCUUGAAGAUCUAGAGAAGCUUUCUCUUUCUCUUCUCUCUAUCUUUAUGUUUUUUUUAUCAUUUGAUGAUGUCUCUUGAUCAUUUCAUGGCUCUAGAGUAGUUCUCUUGUUAUGGGAUAGGUUGAAUUUGGUUUGAUGAAUAAGCUUGUGCUUGAUUGAUGAUAUUGUGUUCAUAUGCUCAUGGUGUUGAAAUCUUGAGUCUUAAUGCUUGUUCUUGAAUUAA